GGAAUAAUGAUGGUGGCAUUCAAUAUAUCACCACCUUCUUGAAAGCGUCACAUUGGAGGUUCUUUGUUGGAGCAGUGUCUUUAUGGUAGUGUGUCUGUUAGACCGGGUUCGAUAGUAAUGAUGGUAGAAAGAUUUGGACAAAUGACUAAUCUACAGCUCGGUAACUCUCCAACGUUUUUUUCAUCUUUGGUUUGAUGUCAGUCAAAGGCAAUAAGCACCGUUUCACCACCAGGACUAUACCACUAGAAUGUCUUCUUGCCAUCUUCUUGCUUCACCUUGAGGGUUAUUAAUGUCAACACCAUUUCACCAUCGGGACUAUUCUCACCUACAACUCAUUAAGCAUAUUAGUCCCAAAUCAAUUAUACAGUUGCCUUGAUCAAUGCCUACUUUGACUUUUGAUUUGAUGUUCAUCAAUAGAUCGCAUCAUCUUGAUCUUCGGUAUUUCAUCUUGCGCUCUUCUUAUAAUGGAUGCAGAAUACUCAUAGCUUUAAAUGGCCUCGCACGGUCCAUCAUGACAAAGUCUUCACUCACCCUUCACCAUCGAAUUCGGUCCAUCGGCGGCAAGCCUCUUACUUCCACUUCACCCCGCAUGGUCUAUCAUAGCCGAGUCGUGCUUGCCUGUGACCUCCCAGCCUAGGGCUUAAUAGGAUUAAUAGAAUACUCAUAUCAAUAAGUUGCAACUUCUUUUCCGAAAGCCGGUCUCGGAAGAACUCCAGGGUUAAGCGUGGUUGGCCUAGAGCAAUUUAGGGAUGGGUGACCGAUCGGGAAAUUCUUCUCGGGUGCACACGAGUGAGGACAAAGUGUGCAGAAAAGACUUGUGUUGGUCUGUGGGGGCAGUCUAUGACCUAUAAAAGCUGGUGAGGAUGUAUAGACUAUAAAAGCUGGUGAGGAUGUGACAUCCCAGCCUAGGGCUUAAUAGGAUUAAUAGAAUACUCAACCGAUGGGGAAAUGUCUCUGAAGAACUCCACGUGCUUGGCCUAGAGCAAUUUAGGGGGCAGUCUAUGACUUGCCUAGGGCUUAAUAGGAUUAAUAGAAUACUCAACCGAUCGGGAAAUUCUUCCCGGGUGCGCACAGGAAGCCGGUCUCCGAAGAACUCCACUUGCUUGGCCUGGAGCAAUUUAGGGGGCAGUCUAUGACCUAUAAAAGCUGGUGAGGAUGUGACAUCCCAGCCUAGGGCUUAAUAGAAUUAUUAGAAUACUCAACCGAUCGGGAAAUUCUUCCCGGGUGCACACCGGAAGCCGGUCUCCGAAGAACUCCACGUGUUUGGCCUAGAGCAAUUUAGGGAUGGGUGACCGAUCGGGAAAUUCUUCCCGGGUGCGUACGAGUAAGGACAAAUUGUGCAGAAAAGACUUGUGUUGGUCUGUGGGGGCAGUCUAUGACCUAUAAAAGCUGCUAGAUGUAAGUGGGCCCGGCCUAGGAGAGGCGGGUCGUUAUUGCCCAUCAUCGUCUUGCCAUAGAUAACCACUUCAUCGUCUUGCCAUA
rnacentral:lncRNA from 1 species